rnacentral:lncRNA from 1 species
ACUUCCAGGCAGGGCCUCGAGGAAGUAGGUGAGCUUCUCCAUCCCUGUCUGUCUAGAUGCAGAGAACCCAAAGCCCUGCAGGAUGGCAAAGCUGCAACAUGGAAGUCACCCGGAUCACCACGUAAAGGAAAUCUCUCCAACCAGGAACAAACACCUGCCUUGCAAUAUUAGGUGUCUGCCUCCUGCCCCGGUCCACAGCCAGGAGCCCCGGAGCCAACGGCCAGCCUGGAAGACUUACAGUUCUCCCUCUGAGGGUUGCUGUGGCUUUCCAUGUUGUGGUGACUAAGUCCCUGUGUUUCUGUGCAGUCCCUGCUUCCUGGGACCAGGGAAGAAUGGUCCCGUAAGUCUCACCCUAAUGGUGGCCACCAGACUUUCUCUGCUUGUAUCCUCCCAGGACCACAGAACUCAUCGCAUCCCAAGGCAGCCUAUUCCAUCAUGGAUGAGCUCAAAGUGUUUGAAAGUUCUGCUUUAUCAAGAGUGGCGUGCUGUGUGGAUAAUGAAUAUUGGGGAAGGCAUCUCUCUCCAGCCCCUCUCAAGCUUUCUGUAGUCACUGGUCCACUCUGUAUUGCUAUGAAGAAGCUCAAGACCAGCCUGUAUCACUCGGGGUCCUGGCAGGAACCAGGUGCCACACUCAAACUGAGUAAUUGAAGAGGGUUUAAUAUGGGAGUU